rnacentral:rRNA from 1 species
CAAAGGUGAGCCAGUACAGGAUGGACCCGCGUCUGAUUAGCUAGUUGGUAAGGUAACGGCUUACCAAGGCGACGAUCAGUAGCCGACCUGAGAGGGUGAUCGGCCACAUUGGAACUGAGACACGGUCCAAACUCCUACGGGAGGCAGCAGUGGGGAAUAUUGCACAAUGGGCGAAAGCCUGAUGCAGCAACGCCGCGUGAGUGAUGAAGGCCUUCGGGUCGUAAAACUCUGUCCUCAAGGAAGAUAAUGACGGUACUUGAGGAGGAAGCCCCGGCUAACUACGUGCCAGCAGCCGCGGUAAUACGUAGGGGGCUAGCGUUAUCCGGAUUUACUGGGCGUAAAGGGUGCGUAGGCGGUCUUUCAAGUCAGGAGUGAAAGGCUACGGCUCAACCGUAGUAAGCUCUUGAAACUGGGAGACUUGAGUGCAGGAGAGGAGAGUGGAAUUCCUAGUGUAGCGGUGAAAUGCGCAGAUAUUAGGAGGAACACCAGUUGCGAAGGCGGCUCUCUGGACUGUAACUGACGCUGAGGCACGAAAGCGUGGGGAGCAAACAGGAUUAGAUACCCUGGUAGUCCACGCUGUAAACGAUGAGUACUAGGUGUCGGGGGUUACCCCCUUCG